ACUGAGAAUUUUGUUGGAAGCUUUUGGUUUUUCCCAAUACACUCUUUGCUCAAGAAUAUACCUUGUACCAAGAAUCUCAUUAGCUUUACGAUUUGCCUUUAAAUUUACUAAGAACAAACUAGUAUCAACACCGUGUUUUCUUGAGAAAUCUGUAGAAAAAUUUUUAACAGUUUGUACAGUAUCCGGAACGAACUUAUCUAUUUCAGACUUAAUGUCAUUUAUGUCAAUUUUAAAGUAUAACAGCCAGUUCCACGAUAUCGAAAGAACACGUUCGCACAACUUUUACACGACAAACAGCUGAUUUCCGUUCCACUAAAAUCUAUCAGAACGAAAAUUUGCACGAAAAUCAAAGCGAACGAAAACGUAAGCAUUUCAGUGUAAUUUUGCGUUCCACUAUCUUUUUUCUUUCGUACGCAUGCGAACACAAAUGUCAAAAUCAGUCACUUGUGUGUUUGCUAUCGUAUAAUAACAAUUAAGGAAAAUUGUUUUAACAUAAACAUUGCUUGAUUGAAAAUGGAAACAAAAAUCACGAAAAAAUCAUCAACUACACAGCUGCGGGCACUAGUUGAGUAAAUGGAGGAGAAUCCUGUGUUCGCCAGAGGAAUGCCAAUUUUUGGAAGCAGCAGAAGAAGUUUUAAAUCGGGGCGGAUUUGGUAGUUCUGCAACCGGGCACCCACUUCUCUUCCAUCAUAUCCAAAAGAGCCCGAAAACUUCCUUCGACACACGAAAGUUGGCCACAAACCUAGAAAAAAUCAUUUUUUAUUAUUUCAAAAAUGUAAAAAUACAAUCAUACUUACUGGUUGUUAGGUACUUCAAAUAAAUUCGAAGCAUCUCUUAAA